rnacentral:rRNA from 1 species
GAUCCUGGCUCAGAGUGAACGCUGGCGGCGUGCCUAAUACAUGCAAGUCGAACGAUGAAGCUUCUAGCUUGCUAGAAUGCUGAUUAGUGGCGCACGGGUGAGUAACGCAUAGGUCAUGUGCCUCUUAGUUUGGGAUAGCCAUUGGAAACGAUGAUUAAUACCAGAUACUCCCUAUGGGGGAAAGAUUUAUCGCUAAGAGAUCAGCCUAUGUCCUAUCAG